UAGAGUUUUGAUCCUGGCUCAGAUUGAACGCUGGCGGCAUGCCUAACACAUGCAAGUCGAACGAGGUUGACUUCGGUCAACCUAGUGGCGGACGGGUGAGUAAUACGUGGGAAUCUGCCUCGUAGUGGGGGAUAACGUAGGGAAACUUACGCUAAUACCGCAUACGCUCUACGGAGGAAAGGGGGGGAUCUUCGGACCUCUCGCUAUGAGAUGAGCCCACGUCUGAUUAGCUAGUUGGUGGGGUAAAGGCCUACCAAGGCGACGAUCAGUAGCCGGCCUGAGAGGGUGGACGGCCACACUGGGACUGAGACACGGCCCAGACUCCUACGGGAGGCAGCAGUGGGGAAUAUUGGGCAAUGGGCGCAAGCCUGACCCAGCAACGCCGUGUGAGGGAUGAAGGCCUUCGGGUCGUAAACCUCUGUCAGAAGGGAAGAACGGGCACAGUUCGAAUAGGGCUGUGUUUUGACGGUACCUUCAGAGGAAGCACCGGCUAACUCCGUGCCAGCCGCCGCGGUAAUACA
rnacentral:rRNA from 1 species